rnacentral:lncRNA from 1 species
AAAUAAUAUAGACUUCAAAGCUGAAACAGAUGCUCCAAUAUCUUGUUCAGAAGUAAAUAAGGUAAUCAGAGGACUAAAACUUCAAAAGUCUGCUGGACCAGAUAGAAUUAUAAAUGAAAUAAUUAAAACCUCAAAUCAAGUAAUAAUUAAGUCAAUUGUUAAAAUAUUUAAUUUAAUUCUAAAAACGGGUAUAUACCCAAAAUCAUGGAAGGACUCAUAUAUAAUUGCACUUCAUAAGAAGGGAGACAAAUCUGAUCCCAAUAAUUACAGAGGUAUAUCUUUAAUCAGUAAUCUUCCUAAAAUAUUCAAUGCUGUACUCAAUAAUAGAUUAAUCACAGUUGUGGAUAAACAGCUGAAUAACUGUCAAUUUGGCUUCAGAGAAAACCACAGAACUGCUGACAGUAUUUUCAUAUUUAAAAUCUUUAAUUAAUAAAUAUAUACACAAAAAUAACAAAAAAUAUAUGCAUGCUUCAUUGACUUAAGAAAGGCAUUUGACUCUGUAUGGAGGACAGCCCUUCUGUAUAAAUUAUGCAAAAUGGGAGUAGGAAAGUCUUUUUACAGAGUAAUAAAACAACAAUAUUUAAAUACAAAAUCCUCUUUAAAACAUAAAGAUCACAUUUCUGACUAUUUUGACAUUACUAGAGGUGUGAAACAAGGGGAUUCAUUAAGUCCUACUUUGUUCAAUAUUUUUAUAAAUGAUAUCACUAAAGGUUUGGAAGAUGACAACUCAAGUCCACUGGAGCUUAUAAAUAGUAAACUAGGCUCCCUCCUGUUUGCUGAUGAUCUGCUUUUUACUAUCAGAAUCUAAGGAGGGUCUCCAAAAUAGUCUAAAUAAAGUUUCCAUGUUUUGUGAAAACUGGCAGCUUUCUCUAAACAUAAAUAAAACAAAAAAGUAUGGUCUUUUCAACAACAAAGCAAAAGCCUGAAACAUCUAUACUUGUAUAUAAAAACAAAAAAAUAGAGAAUGUUUCAGAAUAUCCUUACUUGGGUCUGCUGAUUAAAUCAAAUGGUAAUCUUAGUCAUAGUACAGCUGAAUUAACAAAAAAGGCAAAAAAGGUUUUGUUCUCUAUUAAAACAUAUACUAAUUCUCUUGGCAGCCUUCCUAUCAGAGUGUCAAAUAACUUAUUUGACACCUUAGUGAGACCUAUAUUGACUUAUAAUUCUGAAAUAACAUAUUUGGACUCAUAUAUAACAUAUUUCAAAGCUAAAAAAAAGAGCUUUGGUUUCUGGAAAAAUUGUGGACCCAUUUAAUUUUAUUGACAAGACUCCAAUAGAAAACUUGCAUCUUGGGUAUUGCAAGUUUACCCUUAACACUAACAAGAGUGCCUCAAAUUUUGGUACAAGGAACGAAUUGGGAAGACUGCCUAUUGAAUGUCAUAUAAAAACCCAAACUAUUAUGUAUUUAGCAAGGCUUUUCACCUCAAAUUUGAAUCCCUUAUUACAUGAAUCUUUUCAAUUAACUAAAACUUUGGAUUCUAGUGGCACCUAUUCAUGGUUCAC